GUGACAUAUUAAUCCCUUUACCUUUGAGGGGGCGGGAGAUGUGUUUCAUGCCAAGGUACUCGUCACUGUUGUGUUGGAUGGUGACAUAUUAAUCCCUUUACCUUUGAGGGGGCGGGAGAUGUGUUUCAUGCCAAGGUACUCGUCACUGUUGUGUUGGAUGGUGACAUAUUAAUCCCUUUACCUUUGAGGGGGCGGGAGAUGUGUUUCAUGCCAAGGUACUCGUCACUGUUGUGUUGGAUGGUGACAUAUUAAUCCCUUUACCUUUGAGGGGGCGGGAGAUGUGUUUCAUGCCAAGGUACUCGUCACUGUUGUGUUGGAUGGUGACAUAUUAAUCCCUUUACCUUUGAGGGGGCGGGGAGAUGUGUUUCAUGCCUAGGUACUCGUCACUGUUGUGUUGGAUGGUGACAUAUUAAUCCCUUUACCUUUGAGGGGGCGGGAGAUGUGUUUCAUGCCAAGGUACUCGUCACUGUUGUGUUGGAUGGUGACAUAUUAAUCCCUUUACCUUUGAGGGGGCGGGAGAUGUGUUUCAUGCCAAGGUACUCGUCACUGUUGUGUUGGAUGGUGACAUAUUAAUCCCUUUACCUUUGAGGGGGCGGGAGAUGUGUUUCAUGCCUAGGUACUCGUCACUGUUGUGUUGGAUGGUGACAAGUUUCAGCGAGUGCCCGCCGCUGUU